rnacentral:snoRNA from 1 species
UUAGGAUCAAAGAUGCUGCUUUCCCUGAAACAACAGUUAAAAGACAGCCCAAAGUGACCAUUUUCUUGGGUGGCUACUCUUCUGUUAUCUGUAACUGGCUUAUGACAUUUUGGGAAAGAGGACUA